rnacentral:rRNA from 1 species
CAGUAGCCACGGUAAUACGUAGGUCCCGAGCGUUGUCCGGAUUUAUUGGGCGUAAAGCGAGCGCAGGCGGUUAGAAAAGUCUGAAGUGAAAGGCAGUGGCUCAACCAUUGUAGGCUUUGGAAACUGUUUAACUUGAGUGCAGAAGGGGAGAGUGGAGUUCCAUGUGUAGCGGUGAAAUGCGUAGAUAUAUGGAGGAACACCGGUGGCGAAAGCGGCUCUCUGGUCUGUAACUGACGCUGAGGCUCGAGAGCGUGGGGAGCGAACAGGAUUAGAUACCCGCGUAGUCCCUGUCUCUUAUACC